rnacentral:rRNA from 1 species
UGGGGAAUAUUGGACAAUGGGGGCAACCCUGAUCCAGCAAUGCCGCGUGAGUGAAGAAGGCCCUCGGGUUGUAAAACUCUUUUGUCAGGGACGAUGAUGACGGUACCUGGCGAAUAAGCUCCGGCUAACUUCGUGCCAGCAGCCGCGGUAAUACGAAGGGAGCUAGCGUUGUUCGGAAUUACUGGGCGUAAAGGGCGCGUAGGCGGUUUUAUAAGUCAGAUGUGAAAGCCCUAGGCUUAACCUAGGAUGUGCAUUUGAAACGAUAAGACUAGAGAUCGAGAGAGGAGAGUGGAAUUGCGAGUGUAGAGGUGAAAUUCGUAGAUAUUCGCAAGAACACCAGUGGCGAAGGCGGCUCUCUGGCUCGAUACUGACGCUAAGGCGCGAAAGCGUGGGGAGCAAACAGG